UUAAAGAUAAUUGGAAAGCUGGAAAUGGCUGCUAUCGGCUGAUUUUUAAAAAAUACAUUAUUUCUGAAAUAGGGCUGGUGUAAUAAUGACCCUAUCUGUUCAAGAUUUAAGAUUUGUCUUGGCAGAGAAAAUUGAUCCAUUUCACCUUUGUCUAAUGGAAAUUUUUAUCUAGGAUUAUGUGUUUAUGUAAAUGAAUAUCCCCGUGAAAAGGGAACUUGAGGAGGCUGUAAAUCUUGGUGACACUUCAGUUUCAUAGGGGAGAAAUUGGAAAGGAUUCUAGUAUUUAUCAGCCCGAAAUUGGUUAUAAAAACAAAAUUAUCUUCCUGUACCUGCAGCAUCUGAUGUUUUCUGAAAUUUCAUUAUAUUUCUAAAUAAUUCAGGGAGUCUUGGGAAUAGUGUUUUGACAUGACCUCAAUCAGUUGUUGUUUUUACUUUUAAAAUUUUAUAGUCACUUGCUAAUGUGCUUGCUUUUCUGCCUUCUUAAGGGUGAGAUUGUUUUCUGUGCCAUCUAAGGAGUCUUCAAUAAGCAUAGGCUCCUUAUCUGUAGGUAAAUGAAAUGAAGUGUAUUAGCAGAGUAUCCACUGAUUUUUCUCUUAAAAUGUCCUGGUUGAUCUAAAUUCUAUCUGUGGACCAAAAUACUGGGGUCUGAAUCAGAAUUGCUUUGCAUUUAAACAGCAUGUUUCACAGUGACUGUUGGACCAUACUUACUUGUUCUGAUACAGUAGUGGAAGUUGCCAUUUAACAACUUUGUGGAGGAGGCAGUGUGUGACAUUCUUUUCCCCAAAUCAAAGAGAAAAACAAUGAAAGGGAAAAAGAAGUGUCGAUCAAUGUUUCUUCUUUGGAAAGAAAUGUGUAAUUUUAACCUCACUAUCUGAAACCUAGUGGCAAUCUGCUGUUCUCUCUUGCAGCCAUUUUCUCUGAACUCACCACCACUUACUGAAUAUCAGAACGAUCACAUUGGGACUGAAACAGUACGAUGUUGCAUUUAAGCUGAUGUAGAUGAUGUAGAUGUAACAUUUAAGGGUGUGACACAGGGACUGAAAAUUGUCGAGGACUUGACGUUUUCUUUCCCGCCUCUUUAAGGAUGAGAUUCGUUCACAAUAAGCAGUGUGCAUCGGGCAGAGAGGAGUGGUGUUUGCUGCCUGGAAUGUCAACUAAACCACUGUUACGCCCACGGAAAUUUGUUUCAUUGCUAUUAGUAGGUUUAAUAAAAUUGGCAGAGCUAAAAAAAAAAAUGGUAUUUUGGAAACUCAUAUCCAGGUUGAUCACUGUGUCUGCUUUUUACUUUAAAUGAACAUGUAACAUAUAGCAUCCCUGUUUUCCAGGGCUUUGAAGGAAAGGUAUCAGUGUGAGCAAAUGUGGACCAAUUGUGCGGAGAAGAGAAGUGAAGCUAGAAGGUGGGAGAAUUAGGAUCGAAACAUGGAAUCUUUGCUUGCCUAUCAUCAAGGACACUCAGUGAGAUGUUGGUCAAGAGGCAGCUUCAUUUGGCAUAUGGUAAAUCUGUCUCCUUUUCCCUCCCUUUAACCCUAGAGUGGGAUGCUGGGAGUUGAAGGUAUUUGAUAAGGGAUACUACCAUUUCCUGCCGAAGAAUCAAUUCAGGGCAAACUGUGUUAGCAAUUAUUUAUUAUAUGCCUACCUGUCUAUCUAGCAUCUAUCUGUCUAGCAUCUAUCUGUCUGUCUGUCUACCUACCUAUCUAUCUACCUACCUAUCAUAUAUCUUCAUCUCCUCUGUCUUUCUCAGUUUUUUACUGGUAAAAGCUGGCCUGAAGAAAUGGCUUUCCUGUGCAGUAGUGAUCAACUUCUUUUUUUUUUUUUGCUGUUUUUUUAUUUUUUAUUUUUAUUAUUAGUUACAUUUUAUUAAUUCUGUGUCCCAGCUGAAUCCUGCUCCCUCAUUUCUUCCCUUAUCUCCUCUCUGCCCCUUCCCAAGUCCACUGAUAGGUGAGGACCACCUCCCCUUUCAUCUGACCCCGUUUUAUCAGGUAUCUUCAGGACUGGCUGCAAAGUCCUCCUCUGUGGUCUAGCAGGGCUGCUCCUCCCUUGGGAAGGGGGGAUCUCAAAGAGCCUGCCAUUGAGUUCAUGUCACAAAUAGUCCCUGUUCUCCUUACUAGGGUAACCCACUUGGUUAUUGAGCUACCACAGGCUACAUUUGAGCAGAGGUUCUAGGUUAUAUCCAUACAUGGUCCUUGGUGGGGUGUCAAUCUCAGAAAAGACCCCUGUGCCCAGGUACAUUUGGUCCUUGUGGAGCUCCUAUCCUCUCCAUGUCAUACUAACUCCCCCUUCUUUCAUAUGAUGCCCUGCGCUCUGCGGAAAGUUUGGUUAUGAGUCUUAGUAUCUGCUUUGAUACACUGUUAGGUAGAGUCUUUCAGGGGCCCUCUGUUGUAGGCUCCUGUCCUGUUACUUGUUUUCUCCUACGUCCAAUGUCCAUCCCAUUUGUCUUUCUAAGUGAGGAUUGAUCAUCUUACCCUGGGUCUUCUUUCUUGUUUAUCUUCUUUAGGUGUAUAGAUUUUAGUAUGUUUAUCAUAUCUUACAGGUCUAUAUAAGUGAGUAUAUACCAUGUGUGUCUUUCUCCUUCUGGGAUGCUUUACUC